rnacentral:rRNA from 1 species
AGUGAACGCUGGCGGUAGGCCUAACACAUGCAAGUCGAACGGCAGCACCGUAAGAGCUUGCUCUUACGGGUGGCGCGUGGCGGACGGGUGAGGUAUACAUCGGAAUCUACUUUUUCGUGGGGGAUAACGUCGGGAAACUUACGCUAAUACCGCAUACGACCUACGGGUGAAAGCAGGGGAUCUUCGGACCUUGCGCGAUUGAAUGAGCCGAUGUCGGCUUCGCUAGUUGGCGGGGUACAGGGCCACCACGGCGACGAUCCGUAGCUGGUCUGAGAGGAUGAUCAGCCACACGGGAACUGAGACACGGUCGAGACUCUGACGGGAGGCAGCAGUGGGGAAUAUUGGACAAUGGGGGAGAGGCUGAUCCAGCCAUACCGCGUGGGGGAAGAAGGCGUUCGGGUUGUAAAGCGAUUUUGUUGGGAGAGAAAAGCAGCAGGUUAAUACCGGGCUGUACUGACGGUACCCAAAGAAUAAGCACCGGCUAACUUCGUG